rnacentral:lncRNA from 1 species
GUUUAAUUUCCUUUUUUUUGUUGAAAUGAUUUGAUUGAUAAGCAGGGUGUAGUAGCUGAUUUGAAGAAUCAAAUACUGUGUUUGCAAAAGGAGAACCAAAUUCUUAAGAUGAAGGUCCAAAAGUGAACUAUAUAAUUUUUUUUCGUAUUUUUCAUGUCUUUAAUUUUUAUUUUAGCAUUAACUGUUAUUUUGAACUGUUUGUAGUUAUUUUGAAAUAUUUCUUUUAUUUACAGAAUGAUGAACUUGAGGCUAUUCCUAAAAGAAUCAUUGGAUUGAGUAACGUUUUUUAUUUAAUUUUGCAUUGCGGUUGUAUAUUGAUAUUGAUUGAGUAAAGUUUUUUUUGUGUUGUAUGUGUAUUUAAUUAAAAUGUGUUAUACCAUUCCUUACAGACUAGGAAUGUAGAAUAACAUAUUUUAACAAUAAAGUAACAGAUUUUGACAAACUGAAAUUUAUCCAAUAAAAUUAACUAGCUCAAGAUAAGUAACUGCCCAUAACCGAAUUUAACUAACUGAAAUCUGAUAAAAUACUAACAAACUAACUCAAUUGUUUAUCUAUAAGUAUUGACUUCAGAACUUGUUAUUCUAAAUUCUCAUUUGUAGACCCUUUUACUAUAUUUUCUUUUCUUCAUCUUGCACACACAGUGUAAUUUGCUUGGCUAACCAAGUAAUUAUUGCAAUGAAUACCAGAAAACUUGAAUCUAUUGAGCCACAUUUGACUACUAUAGAAGUUUUGGGAAUGAAUGGAACAAAACUUGAAUUUCUUGAGCUUGGAAAAGAAAUGGAAAAGGUAAAUCAAUUAAUCUGUUUUUUUAAUAUGGUGUUUAGUUUUUUGCUAUAAUUCUUUUUCCUUAAUUUUGAAUUUGAUUUUUGAUUUCUUAGUGUAUUGUUCUUGAUCGUUGGAGUGGGAUGUAGAACAUAUUCAUAGACUUUCUUGAGAUUUCAAAACGAGCUCAUGAAUUUGUCUUUUAAUUCCGCUUUUGGUUUUUAUAUUAACUUUUUUGCAAUUUAUUUACUUAAUUUUGUUAUGUUUGAUAUUGUGGUCAACCAUUGUUGAUUAAGUUAUCCUGAACAAGAUUUUUUUGGAGCAGGAAAUGGUUUCCCUUCCCAAGGUUAACGAAAAUUUAUUUUAUUAACUUUUGAUUAUUUUCUUAGUUUUGUUGUGAUAUUUCUGUUUAAUUUCCUUUUUGUUGUUGAAAUGAUUUGUUUGAUAAGUAGGGUGUAGUAGAUUAUUUGAAGAAUCAAAUACUAUGUUUGCAAAAGGUGAACCAAAUUCUUAAUAUGAAGGUCCAAAAGUGAACUCUAUAAUUUUUUUGCGUAUUUUUCAUGUCUUUAAUUUUUAUUUUAGCCUUAACUAUUAUUUUGAACUGUUUGUAGUUAUUUUGAAAUAUUUCUUUUAUUUACAGAAUGAUGAACUUGAGGUUAUUCCUAGAAGAGUCAUUGGAUUGAAAAAUGUUUUUUAUUUAAUUUUGCGUUCCGGUUGUAUAUUGAUAUUGAUUGAGUAAAUUUUUUUCUUGCUUUGUACGCGUAUUUAAUUAAAAUGUGUUAUACCAUUCCUUACACACUAGGAACGUAGAAUAACAUAUUUUAACAAUAAAGUAACAAAUUUUGACUAAGUGAAAUUUAUCCAAUAAAAUUAACUAACUCAAGAUAAGUAACGGCCCAUAAUAGAAUAUAACUAACUGAAAUAUGAUUAAAAAAACUAACAAACUAACUCAAUUGUUUAUCUAUAAGUAUUGGCUUCAGAACUUGUUAUUCUAAAUUCUCAUUUCUAAACCCUUUUACUAUAUUUUCUCUUCUUCAUCUUGCACACACAGUGUAAUUUGCUUGGCUAACCAAGUAAUUAUUGCAAUGAAUACCAGAAAACUUGAAUCUAUUGAGCCACAUUUGGCUACCGUAGAAGUUUUGGGAAUGAACGGAACAAAACUUGAAUUUCUUGAGAUUGGAAAAGAAAUGGAAAAGGUAAAUCAAUUUAAUCUCUUUUUUUAAUAUGGUGUUUUGUUUUUUGCUAUAAUUCUUUUUCCUUAAUUUUGAAUUUGAUUUUUGACUUGUUAGUGUAUUGUUCUUGAUCGUUGGAGUGGGACGUAGAACAAAUUCAUAGAAUUUCUUGAGAUUUCAAAAUGAGAUCAUGAAUUUGUGUUUUAAUUCCGCUUUUGAUUUUUAUAUUAAUUUUUUUGCAAUUUAUUUACUUAAUUUUGUUAUGUUUGAUAUUGUAGUCAACCAUUGCUGAUUAAGUUAUCCUUAACAAGAUUUUUUUGGAGGAGGAAGUGGUUUCCCUUCCAAAAGUUAAUGAAAAUUUAUUUUAUUAACUUUUGAUUAUUUUCUGAGUUUUAUUGUGAUAUUUCUGUUUAAUUUCCUUUUUUUUUGAAAUGAUUUGUUUGAUAAGCAGGGUGUAGUAGCUGAUUUGAAGAAUCAAAUACUGUGGUUGCAAAAGAAGAACCAAAUUCUUAAGAUGAAGGUCCAAAAGUGAAGUCUAUAAUUUUUUUGCGUAUUUUUCAUGUCUUUAAUUUUUAUUUUAGCAUCAAUUGUUAUUUUGAACUGUUUGUAGUUAUUUUGAAAUAUUUCUUUUAUUUACAGAAUGAUGAACUUGAGGCUAUUCCUAGAAGAAUCAUUGGAUUGAGUAAUGUUUUUUAUUUAAUUUUGCGUUGUGGUUGUAUAUUGAUAUUGAUUGAGUAAAAUGUGUUAUACCAUUCCUUACACACAAGGAACGUAGAAUAACAUAUUUUAACAAUAAUGUAAUAAAUUUUAACAAACUGAAAUUUAUCCAAUAAAAUUAACUAACUCACGAUAAGUAAUUGCCCAUAAUAGAAGUUAAUUAACU